UGUAGUUUGCUUCAGCUGUCAGUAGCUGAAGCUGGGGCUGAAGGCAGGACUGGGGGCCUCCCCUCUGUGACUGCGGCUGGAGCCAGAGCUAGAACCGGGACCCUUCACUCCUCUGCGCUGCAACUGGUGACUGGGUCUUCUUGGAGUCAAGUUGCUUGGGAAUGCAGCCCAAAGCUGGUGGUAAACUCCAUCUAAGGCUAAAUACUGGCACGAGACCGAUAGUCAACAAGUACCGUAAGGGAAAGUUGAAAAGAACUUUGAAGAGAGAGUUCAAGAGGGCGAGAUAGGAAGAGCA